AAUUAAUCAAUUUCGAUUCCUAGUAGAAUUAGAGUCUAGGAAUGCCCCGAUCAUGUUCACUUUGCAAUCAUAUCCCUAACGUUCAUUUUCACUUAUUUAACUAUGGUUAAGACUGUUAUUUUUAUGUGCCUUGAAUUUUAAAUAAGUCUUCAUGGACCCGAAUUGUAAUCUGAUUUGAAAGUUUUGCAUUGUAACUCGAUUGGAAUAAAAAAAGAGGUAUGCG
rnacentral:misc_RNA from 1 species